ensembl:lncRNA
CUAACUUUUAUGUGAAAUGGCGGAAGUCUUUUUUUUUUGGUAAACUGAGAACGAGAGAAACUCGUGCAGAACAACACAGUUAACUGAAGAUAUUUCGAUCUCUUUUUACUAUAAUAUUUAAUGUGUGACGACAGUUAACAGCACAAAGCUCGGUACAGUAAACAGUAACUUCGGCUCUAAUGUCCGGUCACGUUACAAGAUGUCUACGAUUAAAACAACGGCCGUUACGCGGCUUCACCGGGGCUUAUACAGGAUUUAUACCGGGCUUCACCAGGGCUUCACCGGGGCUUCACCAGGGUUUAUAACGGGGUUCACUAGGGCUUCACCAGGUCUAUCCAGGGCUUCACCAGGCCUUCACCGGGGCUUCACCAGGGUUUAUAACGGGCUUCACCAGGCCUUCACCAUGGCUUCACCAGGUCUUAUCCAGGGCUUCACCAGGGUUUAUAACGGGCUUCACCAGGCCUUCACCAUGGCUUCACCAGGUCUUAUCCAGGGCUUCACCAGUGUUUACCCAGGGCUUCAAUAUGGCUUCAAUAGGGCUUCACCAGGGUUUUACCAGGGCUUCACCAGGCCUUCACCAGGCCUUCACCAGGCCUUCAUCAGGGCUCUUUCCAGUGAUACCGACUGUUGUUGGAUGUUAUAAGCAUGUUAUAACUAGUGCAUGCACAGCUGUACAUGAGGACUACCCGAGUAAACAGAAGAAAGGUGUUAUUACGAACUGUACCUAGAAGUUCACAUAAGAGUAGCUAUUCACC